CCCCCUUGCGGUACUCUUCAGUCUCCUUCUCAAUCAACUCAGACAUCCUGGUGAGAAUAGGAACCAUGUCUUGCCCACUGCCAUGUUCUUUCUCCCAUUGCUCAAGCAAAGUAGUGAGCUCAGCCUUGGAGUCCACAUGCCCAGAUCCUGAAGUCAUGGCUUAGCCUGCCCGAUGCCCCGCUGGGUCGCCGCCGUUGCCACCCCGGCCCCUGCGCUCGGCCCCGCGCACCCCGCGGCGGCCGCGAUUGCUAUGGCGGGCACACACUUUGCGCGUCACCACGCUGGGGGCCGCGUCACGAAGC
rnacentral:lncRNA from 1 species